CAGUGAGUGGAAUGAGGUGGGGGAGUGAGAGGAGAGAGUAGGAGCAGAGAUGGGAAGCCUGGCCAGUGGAGGCAUCCCAGGCCUGCUCUGAGGAGGUGCCAUAGCCCUGAGAGACCGAGGUCAGUGACCUAACACAGCAGACAGCUGAGCUCACAGGCCUCCGCGACCCGGAGGAGGAACCUCAAGGAGGAACCGGACCCCUCCUCGCAGAGCUGCUACCGCCACACAGAAGGGGCCCAUUCUGCUUACAGGCCAUUCCUGCCACCAGUUUCCCUCCGCCCGACCUCCAUUGCCUGGGUGCUCAAUCCUCCGAAACUCUAUGCCGUCCCCUUUUUAGUCCUGCCUCCCAACGUUCUGAAAAGAUGAAGAAGGCAUCCUUGUCACCUCGAGGUUGGUGACCCCGGUAGAUCAAAUGGCAAGCAUGAGUGUCAGGGGUGAUUUGAGAAGAAAGAUGGAAGUUUGCAAAAUGAGAUUUUAUAGAUGGAAUCUCACCAUAAGAAAUUUGAGAGUUCAUAACUAUUCUGAAAAUAGUUGUUAUCUGCAUUAAGACAACUGUAUAAAUAAAGGAAUCAGUGAUGCAGCCGGUUGGAGAGUU
rnacentral:lncRNA from 1 species